rnacentral:lncRNA from 1 species
AUGCACGAGCUAAUAAAAACGUCUCUGCCACAAGGUUCAGAGCUUUAUUACGUACCAUUGUGCGCCCCGAUUCUUCCGCGCAUUCUCUGGCCGGUGCGACAGCACGCUCACCGAGGGCGGGUGGACACCUCACUGCUCUCGCCUCGCGCCCUGAGUAAUCGGACGUCCUGUGCAGGCGCCGUCAUCUUCCACCGGCUCUCUGGGCUCUUCCUUCAUCCUCGGAGUCCUGCCUGCUUCACUUGUUCUCUUCAUUCACCGUCUGUGCCCCCCCCCCACCUCUACCCCCACCCCCAGCCUCAGGCUCAUGCAGCCUCUUUUUGGAACUUUCCAAAGGUGGUCUGUCUGAUCAUCGUGUCUGUGAGUCAAGCCCUCUGGCCGUUUCUAUCUUUGCCCAAAUUCCCACUUGGGAUGUCCACAGGGAACAGAGCUGCUUUUCCAUCGAAGAGAGUCAGCAUCAGCUGGCUUUGGCAGGAAUUUUCUCUGUAGCUCCAAUCAGUGCACAGUCUUGAGCCAACCGUCCCACAGGCUGUUGAAGGAUUUCAAAGGUAGCGUGACUGAUGUAAUGUUUCUGAUUGGAAAGUGGCGAAAGAGCUCUCAGCAACCCACUCUCCUUAAUUACAUGAAGCAAACACCUCCUCAAGGAUAACCACAGAAGCCUGUUUCAGUCUCGGCUCCCAGCCCGUCCACCCUGCUUGCUGACCAGCACAGAGAGGUGAAAAGCUGACCCUGCUGAAUGAAAAAGCGAAAGGACCCACAGGUCCACUGCUUGGGACUGUGGGAUUAUGUGUGAUUCUGCAGCAUCAUUUCCUAAUUUACACUCCUCUUCCCAGAUUGCUCAUGUCAAUCUGUAGACAGUGUUCACCCCGAAAUCCCAAUGUGCUUCUGAAUUAUGGAGCAGCUCAGGAGGGGCCUGGCCUCACCAGUGAGCCCCCAGCCAAGUGCAAGGGGGGGCUUCAACACUGAACAGCCACUGAUCUCACAAGGGAAGCUCAAGGGGGUGGAGGGCCAGGGCCCCACAUCAUCGCAGAGGGGCAGGGGGCACCAGUGCCCGUUCCCUUCCCUCCACUAGUCAGAUCCUCCUCCUCCGCAGGCCUCUUCUCUGGCCUCCCUGCCUCCAAUCCAGACAAUUUUCCUUCACAGAUCAGUCUUUGCCAAGCCCUUCCAUGCCCCACCUUUGCUUAGAGGCCGACCUUGGUAUAUGGGGCCUGCCCCAAUCUCAUUUCCUGCCCCCAAAACAGAUGUGUUUCUGGAUGUUCCCCAAAUUGACAUCUGCAAGCAGAUCUGUCUCUUUUCUAGCACAACCCUCACCCCUGAGCCCACACCUGCUUACACACACACACACUCACGCACACACACUUUCUCUCUCUCUCUCUCCUCUAGAUUUAUCCAUCAUCACUUGAAUGCCUGCUAUGUGUCAGGGGAAGAAAACUAAAAGCUUCAUUGAGCACCUGUCACAUGCCAGGUCUUUAUCGAGUCUCCUCGCAUC